UUUAUGUCUACCUCCUUCCUUCUUUACAUGUGAAUUGCUUGAAAGUUUUUAAACUUUACAUUUGUACUUGAUGUCUGUGGAUGCUAAAGCUCUGUACGAGUCAUAGCGACUUUAUUAUUAUUAUUUAUUAUUAUUAUUAUUAUUAUUAUUAUUAUAUGUGUGUGUGUGUUUAAGUCAGAGGACAACUUUAUGAAGUUUGUUCCCUCCUUCUUUAUGUGGUUUUCCAGGAUUGAACUCAGGUCAUUAUUAGGCUUGCAUAGCAAACACCUUUACUCAUUGAGCCAUCACAUGAGUCUCAGGAAGACCUUUAUAUGAUUAAACCUCAUAUGAUGUGCCAAAAAAUUCUUAAGUUGAAACUAUAGGGAUGCUUUUUUGCCUACUUCUUCCUUUAUAUAUCUUUGUUGUCUAUUCAUGCAUGUGCAGAUGAGUUCACUCAUGCCACUGUGUCUGGAGGUUAGAUGUUAACAUCAGGUGGCUUCCUCUAUAGUGCCCCCUCUUAGUUUUUGAAACAGGAUCUCUUGCUGGACAUGAAACUCACCAAAUUGCUACACUAGCUAACCAGCGAGCACUUGGGAUCUACCUGUCUCUGACUCCUGUUGCUAGGAAUACAGAUAAGCACCACCAUGCCCAGCUUUUACAUGUAAGCUGGGGACUCUGAAUUCAGGUCCUGAUACUUGUAAAGUAAGUAUUUUACUAUUGAGCCAUUUUUUUCAGUGUUACUUUUGAACUAAUAUUAUAUUUCACAUACAGUGGUACAUUCCUGUAAUCCUAGCUCUCGGGAAAAUGAGGCAGGGGUACUGUGAUAUCAAGACCAGCCUGGUCUACAUUGUGUAAGGUGAAAUAUUCCUUUAAAACUAGAGAAAAAUAGUUGGGCAUGGUGGAGCAUACCUAUAAUUCUAGCACCGUGGAAGCAGAGAUAGGGAGAUCUAGUUUGUGUCCCUGAGUCACAUGGAUAGUUCUAGGCUAGUCUGGGCUUAAAUAGCAAAAUGUUGUCUGAAACCAGUCAACCAACCAACCCAGACAACCACAUAAACACCCAAAACAAACAAACAACAGAAAGAAUCAAAGAAGUUGGCUCAAAUUAUUUGGACAGAUAGAUUCCUGAUCUUAACAAUAAUAAACUACAUAGCAGAUAUAAUUGCCUUUUUAGAUAUAUGCAAUGUCAAUUUUUGGUUAAAUGAUAGGUUAUUAUGGAUUAAGUCUAUUUUCACUGAGUUUUUUUUUUAAUUUUAACAUAGCCCCUGUAGCCUAAAAGUUGUCAUCCUCUGCUUCCUAUUGUGCUGGGAUUGUAGGAGUAAUGUCAACAUGCCUGGCUUUCAGUUGACUUCUUCACUAAUAUAUAUGCAAACAUUCCCUCGCAUAGACCUAUGUCCAAAGAAUGUGAUAUAGUUUUGUAGUGUAUAUAUAUAUGCAACAUAGAGUUAUAUGAGUGUGAAUUACAAGGGGCCCCUUAUUAGGAGUAACUCUGGCUUGUUUUUUUGUGGGGCUAGAGAGAGAUAGAACUCAGUCUGGCACAUUCUAAGUAAGUUCUCUGUCACUGAGCUGUCCCUUUCUCCUACCUCCUGAUUUUCCAAACCCCUAGCUGUGCCAUUUUAGUUCAAUUUACUUGAUCUCUGAUUACUUUGAAAUCUUCUGGCCUUUUGAAAUAAUCUUGUGUAGCCCAGGCUGAUCUCAAAUUUGUCAUGUAGCCAAAUAUGAUUUGGAACUUCUGAUCCUCUGGUCUUCUGCCUCUUGAGUUCUGAGAUGUGCAUCACUACAUUCAGCUUUAUGAGGUGCUGAGGAUCAAACCCAGGGCUCAGCAAGCAUUCUGAAUUACAUUCCUCUGGUUCUUUUUUAAUUUUUUUUAAAGAAAGAUUUUAUUUUUUAAGCCCCCCCCCGUGUGUGUGUGUGUGUGUGUGUGUGUGUGUGUGUGUGUGUGUGUGUGAACACAGGUACAAGAGACCAGUGGCAUCAGAUCCUCCUACCUGGAGUUAUAGGCAGUUGUGAACUGCUGAAUGUGGGUCUUGGGAACCAGUUAGAUCCUUUAUAAGAGCAGUAUUCAUGCACUCUUAUCUUAGCCUCUGGGCCAUCUCCCCAGCCCAACCUUUCUCUUCAGCCAUCUUUUUAAUUCUUUUAUUAAAAAGACUAGGAGCCCAGGCCAGCCCCGAGUUUGGUACUCCAAGGAUCCUCUUGUAUCAGCUGUCAGAGUAGCUGGAGCACCCACACUUUUUUCUGACAGGAUCUUAUUAUAGUCAGCCCAGGCAGGCGAGUGCUGGGAUUGCAAGCAUGGGCCAUGAUCACCACAUGUCACUUAGUUUUUUUUGAGCCUCUUUUAAAAAAAAUUAUAAGAGAAUAAUAACAGUUUUACUUAUCUCAGGAUUUUUGUGAUGAUUGAAUGAAAAUGUGUAAGAGGAUUUAGAAACACAUGGUGUAUUUCUAAAAUACUCUCAGUAAGUUGUAACUGAUAAAAUUUAUUUGAAUAUGUACCUUAUUGUUAUUAUUUCUUCAGCUGUUUUUUUUUUUUUUUUUUUUUUUUGAGACAGGGUUUCAAUGUGUAACCCUGGCUGGCCUAGAGAUCUAUCCAACCUGACCUCAAACCUACAGAGCUUCAUCUUCAUCUGCCUCAUACCUUUAAUCUCAGCACCCUGAAUGAGGCCAACCAGAACUAUAUAAUAGAGAGACCCUGUCACAAACAAAUGAAAACAACAAAAACUAAGCCUUUCCUUAGGUCAUUAGGAAAUACUUUUUUUCUUGUUAUGUUAGAGUUUCUUCUAGUAAUAUAACUUUGCUUUGAUAUUUAGCCCUAUAAUCUACAUUAAAUUUUCUUUUGUACCUGAUCUUAGGUAACUCUUUAACUCUCCUCCUCCAGAAGAUAGCCAUUUAUCUUGACACAAUUUAUCCUCCACAAAUUUGAAAUUCUUACAUUGGAGUAUAUUCCCAAGUCUUAGGUUUUUAAAAGCAUAUAUUUAUUUUUGUGCUGAAACCAUAUUGUUUAGGUAAUUAUAGUUAUAUUGUAUGCUAAUAUUUGAUAAAUAAAAAUUUUCAUUGUCUUAUUUCAAGAUUUUAGUAGUGAGAGAAUUUUGAUGAUACCUUACUGUAGCCCAAGGUGGCCAGGAACUCAUGGUAGUUUGCUUGCCUUAGCCUUCCAGGUGCUAGCAUGCCAGGAAUGAGCUAGCAUGUCCCCUGCUUCAAGAUAGUUUUAGUUUUCCUUGUGUGCCCUGUGAGAAUCAAUCAGUUUGUUUGGAAUUUUGAUUGGUUUCACACUGACUUUUUGAUAAACUGGUGGUAAGAAAGGUAGUAUUAGCAAGUGUGGUGGUGCAUUCCUAUAAUCCUGGCACUUGGGGAGGCUGAGACAGGAAGGUUGCUGUGAGUUCAAGGACAGACUGGGUUGAAUAACAAGACCCUGUGUC
rnacentral:lncRNA from 1 species